AGUGAGGUGUAGUCGUGGUGUAAAGGACAGAGUAUGAUUACUAAAAGAAAACAAAUAACAAACACUGAGCAACAUCACCAAACAGGGAGCAUCUCUCAAGCAAUUGGUGAGGGAGCCCACUCGCAAAGACUCAAUAUUAGAUUUAAUUCUCACAAAUGGUGACAGGAUAUCAGACAUAUAUGUGGGUGGCCUUCAUUGCCAAAAGUUGUUUAUCCUAAUAUCAUGAGAGAGAGAACCACAAGGAUGGAGUAUUUUAUCCCCAUCUUUGUUACAUGAUGGCUAUGAGGACCGUGUAUGAAGCAGCAGUUUCUAAAUCGUAGCACCAUAACAACUUGGACAAAAAGAAGAGAGAAACAUCACCAGAAGUAAAUUAAAGUCAGUUGGAGACAAUAUACACGUGUUUACACACUUCUGACGAAGGACGAUGAUGUCUGAAACGCGUUAAGCGUACUGCUCUCCCAUUUAUCACCAUCCCAUCUCAGCGCUACUUCUUUGGACAUCCUGCUGUUUCCUUGUUCCGGAGCUUGGUACAGCCAACCCAUAUUCCAUCUGGGACAAAAAAGGAUCUUCCAAAUCUGCUGCUGCUAUUGCCUGAGAGGGAAUUCUUUGACAUGCGCUUUUAUCUUCUAUGUUUGUGUGUCUUUGUCAUUAAACCUGUGUGCUUUUAAAAACGAUAA